rnacentral:tRNA from 1 species
CCCUCGGUCGUCUAGUUGGUUUAUGGCGUCCGGCUGUAAUAGUUCAGUCUCACCGGAAUGGUUAGUUUCCUACCAAAAUCAUUACUCUCAGUCAAUUGCUAACAAUUGAAAAGUCGCGCGUUCGACUCGCGCCUGAGGGA